CAGUCGCCACGGUAAUACGUAGGUCCCGAGCGUUGUCCGGAUUUAUUGGGCGUAAAGCGAGCGCAGGCGGUUAGAUAAGUCUGAAGUUAAAGGCUGUGGCUUAACCAUAGUACGCUUUGGAAACUGUUUAACUUGAGUGCAGAAGGGGAGAGUGGAAUUCCAUGUGUAGCGGUGAAAUGCGUAGAUAUAUGGAGGAACACCGGUGGCGAAAGCGGCUCUCUGGUCUGUAACUGACGCUGAGGCUCGAAAGCGUGGGGAGCAAACAGGAUUAGAUACCCCCGUAGUCCCUGUCUCUUAUACA
rnacentral:rRNA from 1 species